rnacentral:rRNA from 1 species
GAUGAGCAUGCGUCCCAUUAGCUAGUUGGUAAGGUAACGGCUUACCAAGGCUACGAUGGGUAGGGGUCCUGAGAGGGAGAUCCCCCACACUGGUACUGAGACACGGACCAGACUCCUACGGGAGGCAGCAGUGAGGAAUAUUGGUCAAUGGGCGCAAGCCUGAACCAGCCAUGCCGCGUGCAGGAUGACGGUCCUAUGGAUUGUAAACUGCUUUUGUACGGGAAGAAACAGCGAUUCGUGAAUCGCCUUGACGGUACCGUAAGAAUAAGGAUCGGCUAACUCCGUGCCAGCAGCCGCGGUAAUACGGAGGAUCCAAGCGUUAUCCGGAAUCAUUGGGUUUAAAGGGUCCGUAGGCGGUUUAGUAAGUCAGUGGUGAAAGCCCAUCGCUCAACGGUGGAACGGCCAUUGAUACUGCUA